AGGGUGAACAGUGAGGGGGCAAAUUUUUCAGAAGAUACAAAACUAAUCAACAUAGUUAAGUCCAAAGCAAACUGCAAAGAGUUACAAAAAGACCUCACAAAACUGGGUGACUGGACAACAAAA